GUGGGGAAUAUUGCGCAAUGGGGGAAACUCUGACGCAGCGACGCCGUGUGAGGGAAGAAGGCUUUCGGGUCGUAAACCUCUGUCAGAAAGGAAGAACCUCCCAAGUCCGAAUAGGGCUUGGGACUGACGGUACUUUCAAAGGAAGCACCGGCUAACUCCGUGCCAGCAGCCGCGGUAAUACGGAGGGUGCAAGCGUUAAUCGGAAUCACUGGGCGUAAAGCGCGCGUAGGCCGCUUUGUAAGUCGGACGUGAAAGCCCUCGGCUCAACCGGGGAACUGCGUUCGAUACUGCGAGGCUUGAGUCCUGGAGAGGGUGGCGGAAUUCCGGGUGUAGGAGUGAAAUCCGUAGAUAUCCGGAGGAACACCGGUGGCGAAGGCGGCCACCUGGACAGGUACUGACGCUGAGGCGCGAAAGCGUGGGGAGCAAACAGGAUUAGAUACCCUUGUAGUCC
rnacentral:rRNA from 1 species